rnacentral:rRNA from 1 species
UACAGAGGUCCCAAGCGUUGUUCGGAUUCACUGGGCGUAAAGGGUGCGUAGGCGGCCGGGUAAGUCUGAUGUGAAAUCCCGCAGCUCGACUGCGGAACUGCAUCGGAUACUCUCCGGCUAGAGGAAUGGAGGGGAGACUGGAAUUCUCGGUGUAGCAGUGAAAUGCGUAGAUAUCGAGAGGAACACCAGUGGCGAAGGCGAGUCUCUGGACAUUUCCUAACGCUGAGGCACGAAAGCCAGGGGAGCAAACGGG